GGGGUUGGGGGUUGGGGGCUCCGGUCUUGUUCGAACCGUGUCCGGGUCGCUAUACUUCAGCCUUAGCGCCGGGCUCACGAGGCGUGUUUGCACGGUGAUGUGCAUGAGACCGUCUCUUGCUAAACUAGUUGCCCGAGUUCUGCCUCUGGGACCCGGACCAGCGAGCUGAAAUUCCCCCAGGCUCGGGGACAACCCUUCUGAAGGAGGUUUGGGUCCUGGAAGCCCUCCUCAAGAGAGGAGGCUUUGCUACCGAGUCGAACUCUUUGCUCCGCGUUGUCAGCCACAGCUGCAGGGUGGAAUUACGUGAUUAAACCUGCUCGAUGCCUGGCUCCACCUCCGGAGAUUCGGAGUCAUUGGUCUUGGGCAAGUCCUAAGCAUCUGGCUCUCUUUUUGUUGUUUAAGUUCCCCGGCUACUUUCAAGUCCACGGGGGUUGAAAACCACUGGUUUAGGCGUACUUCCAGUCUUCGGCCAUGCGUAUAAAGAGCAGUUCCCCCUUCCUACCUCCAUGCCAUAAUCGUAGACCAACGCAAGACCCAGUUGGACCAUCACCAGGUGCAGAGAAUUAAAUGGCUUUCCCCCGCCUCACUUAACCACUUGAAGUGUUUCAGCCAGUGAAAUGGAGUGUCAAUGGCCUUGGGCCCGAUCUACCUGUAAACUCUUUCAGUCUAACAGGUGAACAGUUUGACUUAAUGAUCAAUCAGCCUCCAUCCUGGCUGGGAAAGCAGUUUCAGUGAGUGCUCAACUUAAUUGGUUUGUGCCCACGCGGGACCUCCAGGGGGAUAUACACCAGUCAAAUGGCCUCAGUUUCUUGCUGUUUAAAAAGGAAUCAUCUAAAAAAAAGGCAGACUUGUACCGUGUAGCUGCCACCGUCAUUUCUGCAACAAUUCUAACUGCAUCACUGGCUCUUCGGGGUCACUCAGGGGAAGGAAGCCUGUGCUGCUCCCACCCAGAGGGCCUGCCUUGGAGUGCUUUGCAUGCUGCCUCACCCCGCCAGCACUGCCUCUGCACAGCCUGGACCUCCUCAGAAAGGACUAGAUGCUGGACUCUACAUCCAGGAAAGAAGCCACUAGCACCUCUGCCAUAUAACAAUUUGAGGAUUUGCAGACCUAGCUUGAAGUCAAAAGGCAAGGAAGAUUAGCCCUGAGCUAACUGCUGCCAAUCCUCCUCUUUUUGCUGAGAAAGACUGGCCCUGAGCUAACAUCUGUGCCCAUCUUCCUCUACUUUACGUGUGGGACGCCUGCCGCAGCAUGGCUUGUCAAGUGGUGCCAUGUCCCCACCCGGAACCCGAACUGGCGAACCCUGGGCUGCUGAGAAGCAGAACGUGGGCACUUAACUGCUGUGCCACGGGGCUGGCCUGAGAAUCUUUCACAUUCUGAGAGAACUACGAAAGAAGAUUGAGGACUGGAAAUAGAAUUGUUUAGAUAUAAAUCUGCACUUAUGCCCAAUUCUUUCUCUUCGAUUACUACAAAAUUUCCUGAUCAUUCACUCUUUCUGUCAUUUCCCAGCUCCAGAAAUGAAGUCUACAGCCAGCGGUUGGCCUUCUGUGCACCUGGUGAGUCUUAACUAACACCAAGGAGCCAACAAGGGGAGAGGUUGUAAUUUUGGAAGAGCAAAGGGUAGAUAAAGACUGUCUGUGGAUGCAUUUGAGUAAAGAUCUUUAGAAUGCAAGAGAGCAAGCUAUACAGGUAUCUGAGGGAAAAGCAUUUCCAGCAGAAGGAAUAGAAAAUGCAAAGUCUUUGAGGCACGUUUGAGGAAGGGAAGAAAGCUAGAAUGGCUGGAGCAGAGUAAGCUAGAGGCAGAAUAGUAGAAGUGGAUUAUAAAAUAUUGUGUAAUUUAAAAGAAUGUUUACAUUUAACAAAUUAAAAUUUAAAAUGGAAAUACAAUGUAAUAUAACCAUGCUUUCCACAAGAUAAUUACAAUAAUUAUUCAAAA
ensembl:lncRNA